UCAAGCAACUAAGCGCAUACGGUGGAUGCCUUGGCAGUCAGAGGCGAUGAAAGACGUGGAAGCCUGCGAUAAGGCUCGGGGAGCUGGCAAACAAGCUGUGAUCCGGGCAUUUCUGAAUGGGGAAACCCACCGACUUUCGGGUCGGUACCUUACACUGAAUCCAUAGGUGUAAGGGGCGAACCGGGGGAACUGAAACAUCUAAGUACCCCGAGGAAAAGAAAUCAACCGAGAUUCCCUAAGUAGCGGCGAGCGAACGGGGACUAGCCCUUAAGCUAGACAACUGGUAGGAGAAGGCUCUGGAAAGUGCCGCCAUAGUGGGUGAUAGCCCCGUAUCCGAAACCUGAGUCUGGUGAAAUCGAGUAGGACGGGACACGUGAUAUCCUGUCUGAACAUGGGGGGACCAUCCUCCAAGGCUAAAUACUCCUGACUGACCGAUAGUGAACCAGUACCGUGAGGGAAAGGCGAAAAGAACCCCUGUGAGGGGAGUGAAAUAGAACCUGAAACCGUAUACGUACAAGCAGUGGGAGCCCUUCGGGGUGACUGCGUACCUUUUGUAUAAUGGGUCAGCGACUUAUAUUUAGUAGCAAGGUUAAGUGAAUAACGGAGCCGUAGCGAAAGCGAGUGUUAACUGCGCGUUUAGUUGCUAGGUAUAGACCCGAAACCCGGUGAUCUAGCCAUGAGCAGGUUGAAGGUUGAGUAACAUCAACUGGAGGACCGAACCCACUAACUUUGAAAAGUUAGGGGAUGACUUGUGGCUGGGGGUGAAAGGCCAAUCAAACCGGGAGAUAGCUGGUUCUCCCCGAAAUCUAUUUAGGUAGAGCCUCGGACGAAUUCCAUUGGGGGUAGAGCACUGUUAAGGCUAGGGGGUCAUCCCGACUUACCAACCCUUUGCAAACUCCGAAUACCAAUGAGAACUAUCCGGGAGACACACGGCGGGUGCUAACGUCCGUCGUGGAGAGGGAAACAACCCAGACCGCCAGCUAAGGUCCCCAAGUACCAGUUAAGUGGGAAACGAUGUGGGAAGGCUCAGACAGCUAGGAGGUUGGCUUAGAAGCAGCCACCCUUUAAAGAAAGCGUAAUAGCUCACUAGUCGAGUCGGCCUGCGCGGAAGAUGUAACGGGGCUAAGCAAUAUACCGAAGCUGCGGC
rnacentral:rRNA from 1 species